rnacentral:RNase_P_RNA from 1 species
GGAGUGGGUCGGGUGACCGCGGGCGUUCUGCAAGGACGCCUGAGGAAAGUCCGGGCUCCACAGGGCAAGGCGCUGGAUAAUCCCCAGUAGGGGCGACCCUCAGGAUAGUGCCACAGAAAUGAAGACCGCCGUCCGCCUUCGGGAGGUCGGCAAGGGUGCAACGGUGGGGUAAGAGCCCACCAGCAGCGCGGUGACGCGCUGGCUAGGUAAACCCCGUCUGGAGCAAGACCCACGAAGGGUCGGGUUCGUUCGCCCACGGGCGCUCGGACCCGCCGGUGGCCCGCCGGACCCCCUUCUAGGAAGGUCGCAAGAGGGGCGUGGCGACACGUCUCCCAGAGAGAUGGUCACCCCCGGGGCCGUGAGGUCCUCGGGACAGAACCCGGCUUACAGACCCGCUCCUUUU